rnacentral:rRNA from 1 species
CCUACGGGAGGCAGCAGUGGGGAAUAUUGGACAAUGGGGGGAACCCUGAUCCAGCCAUGCCGCGUGUGUGAAGAAGGCCCUCGGGUUGUAAAGCACUUUCAGUGAGGAAGAACGCCUGGUGGUUAAUACCCAUCAGGAAAGACAUCACUCACAGAAGAAGCACCGGCUAACUCCGUGCCAGCAGCCGCGGUAAUACGGAGGGUGCGAGCGUUAAUCGGAAUUACUGGGCGUAAAGCGCGCGUAGGUGGCUUGAUAAGCCGGUUGUGAAAGCCCCGGGCUCAACCUGGGAACGGCAUCCGGAACUGUCAAGCUAGAGUGCAGGAGAGGAAGGUAGAAUUCCCGGUGUAGCGGUGAAAUGCGUAGAGAUCGGGAGGAAUACCAGUGGCGAAGGCGGCCUUCUGGACUGACACCGACACUGAGGUGCGAAAGCGUGGGUAGCAAACAGGAUUAGAUACCCCGGUAGUC